GCUCUCCCUGCUCUGCGUGGUUACACCUGCCACAACAUGUAUGACUUUCAAAAAGAGGGGAGAGAGAAAGGAUGCCCUGAGGACCUCGGACAGGCCUCCUGUGGCCUGUCCCUUCUGGGGAACAUAACAGGC